CGGAACAGGCAUCGAAGCAGACGCGCAGCAGGCCUGAUCAUCUGCUGAUCUUGAGCUGUCCGCUGAUGUAUCCGAAAUUCGUAUCUAAUGCUCGUGGAGAAUGCUUGGGAAGAUUAGAGGGCUUUCUGCUACCUGCUCAAGAGGGUCUUGACACGCCGCUAAGAGAAACGCUACGAAAAUCCAGCUACGAGGGAGCACCAGAACCGCACGCCGUCGACCGAUAGAGCAGAAUGAGCGGGGCAUCUUCGUGGAGGAAAUCUCAGCCAGAGGUUAAUCGUACGGGGUGUAUAGCGCAUACUGGCUUAUCUAAGAGUCAAGAGCAUUUGAAUGGGUUCUUCAUCAUUUCGGCACUCCAGCACUCGGCCAGCGAGCGGGCAGGCAGCAAUUGGUAACAGCUACUUAUGGCCACUAACUGCACUAGUUCCGGGGCUUGUUUCGGGGUCUGCUAUGCCAACAGUACAGAAGCAGGAGAAGCAGAAACAACAAUGGACACGGAGGCCACCAACUGGCGGGAAACAAACAUUUGCCCUCUCACGAAAUUUAUCGUUUGCAUAAAUUUGCUUUAUUGCCUGGCUCCUACUCCAUGUUCUGUGUGGCCUGUAUGCCUGUGUGUGUGUGUGUGGUUGUAGGGCCAAACGGAAGUGUAACUUUCGCUGCCGGGCCAGACAAGGCCAACCGAAACAGCCAGAAACAACAACAACAACAAUGAGUCAAAUGUGGCGAACAAAGUUUUCCAUUAUUCAAUUUAACUAAUGAAACUGAAAAUUCAUUUUACCACAUUAACAAACACACACACACACAUACAUAGAAGGAGCAAAAGAGAAAGAGCGGUCUGGAGCAGGACACCAAAGGACGUGGCAGGAAAUGUGACUCGCCUCCAGUCAGGACAUGUGUGCGUGCCGGUCUCCGGUUAUGGCCUUUCCAGAGGGUGUUUUGAUUUUGGAAUAGACGUAGAGAAAUAAACCCCACGUGAGCUAAAAGGAAUGACUGCUGGACUACUAGCCUUCGGA